UACGAAGGGGGGCUAGCGUUGCUCGGAAUCACUGGGCGUAAAGGGCUCGUAGGCGGCCAACUAAGUCAGACGUGAAAUCCCCUCGGCUUAACCGGGGAACUGCGUCUGAUACUGGAUGGCUUGAAUCCGGGAGAGGAAUGUAGAAUUCCAGGUGUAGCGGUGAAAUGCGUAGAUAUCUGGAGGAAUACCGGUGGCGAAGGCGGCAUCCUGGACCAUUACUGACGCU
rnacentral:rRNA from 1 species